rnacentral:lncRNA from 1 species
CACUAUUCAUACCAAGGAGGCCGCCCCCAUUCUUUUCCGGAACUUAUCAAAUCAAGUGAGAAAGCGGCGCAUCAAUGUCAAAACAACAUAAUAGAAAAGAAACAUAAAGAGAAGGGGGAAGGGACUUGAAUUUUUUGCUUCAGAUUCUUUUUCUUAAAAACAUCAUUUCAUCUGUUUGCUUUCCUCCCUACAACUUUUUACUAUAUACCAUACAUACACUACCCUCCUCUCACUAAAAAAUAAGAAACAAUAUCACCACCCUCAUCUCUCACGCACACCCUGUAAACCAAUUUCAUCCAUGAUAUUUUCUAUAAGCACUUUUAUUUUCACUUGAAAUCUCACUCUCUCUCAAUUUUAAUUGGAAAAUAAAUGAAUAGCAAAAGUGGAUUUUGUGAAGAUACAAACACCAUCGUGAAACCGUAAAUCACCGCCUGCCACUACAUGAACAUUAACUACAACCAUAUUGUAAGUUGUUUCUUUUGUUUCUAACUUUGUUGUUAUAAAUUGAUUCUAUUUACUUAUUUACAUUUAAUUUAUAAUACU